rnacentral:rRNA from 1 species
UACGUAGGGUGCGAGCGUUAAUCGGAAUUACUGGGCGUAAAGCGUGCGCAGGCGGUCUGUUAAGACAGAUGUGAAAUCCCCGGGCUUAACCUGGGAACUGCAUUUGUGACUGGCAGGCUAGAGUAUGGCAGAGGGGGGGUAGAAUUCCACGUGUAGCAGUGAAAUGCGUAGAGAUGUGGAGGAAUACCGGAUGGCGAAGGCAGCCCCCUGGGCCAAUACUGACGCUCAUGCACGAAAGGCGUGGGGAGCAAACGAGGAUUAGAGUACCCGGG